AGGGAUGUGGCUCAACUGGUAGAGUGCCUGCCUACCGUACACGAAGUCCUGGGUUCCAAUCCCAGCUCUG
rnacentral:tRNA from 1 species